rnacentral:rRNA from 1 species
GACGAACGCUGGCGGCGUGCUUAACACAUGCAAGUCGAACGGAAAGGCCCUGCUUUUGUGGGGUGCUCGAGUGGCGAACGGGUGAGUAACACGUGAGUAACCUGCCCUUGACUUUGGGAUAACUUCAGGAAACUGGGGCUAAUACCGGAUAGGAGCUCCUGCUGCAUGGUGGGGGUUGGAAAGUUUCGGCGGUUGGGGAUGGACUCGCGGCUUAUGAGCUGGUUGGUGGGGUAGUGGCUUACCAAGGCUUUGGCGGGUAGCCGGCCUGAGAGGGUGACCGGCCACAAUGGGACUGAGAUACGGCCCAGACUCCUACGGGAGGCAGCAGUGGGGAAUAUUGCACAAUGGGCGGAAGCCUGAUGCAGCAACGCCGCGUGCGGGAUGACGGCCUUCGGGUUGUAAACCGCUUUCGCCUGUGACGAAGCGUGAGUGACGGUAAUGGGUAAAGAAGCACCGGCUAACUACGUG